rnacentral:rRNA from 1 species
GACGAACGCUGGCGGCGUGCUUAACACAUGCAAGUCGAACGGAAAGGCCCUGCUUUUGUGGGGUGCUCGAGUGGCGAACGGGUGAGUAACACGUGAGUAACCUGCCCUUGACUUUGGGAUAACUUCAGGAAACUGGGGCUAAUACCGUAUAGGAGCUCCUGCUGCAUGGUGGGGGUUGGAAAGUUUCGGCGGUUGGGGAUGGACUCGCGGCUGAUCAGCUUGUUGGUGGGGUAGUGGCUUACCAAGGCUUUGACGGGUAGCCGGCCUGAGAGGGUGACCGGGCACAUUGGGACUGAGAUACGGCCCAGACUCCUACGGGAGGCAGCAGUGGGGAAUAUUGCACAAUGGGCGGAAGCCUGAUGCAGCAACGCCGCGUGCGGGAUGACGGCCCUCGGGUUGUAAACCGCUUUCGCCUGUGACGAAGCGUGAGUGACGGUAAUGGGUAAAGAAGCACCGGCUAACUACGUG